CCCUUUUUAAAAGCACUCAGUGGGUCUUUCACUAAUGACCAUUGAGCAGUCAAGAAGGGGCAGAGAAAAAGUACCACUUAGGUGAGAAGUGGCAGCAUGUUGUGCUGUUUUGCUUCAACUGGUGAUGUGAUAAGA